rnacentral:tRNA from 1 species
GCCGGGAUGGUGGAAUAGGUAGACACGCAAGACUUAAAAUCUUGUGGCCAAAUCGGCCGUGCGGGUUCGAUUCCCGCUCCUGGUA